rnacentral:tRNA from 1 species
GGUGACUCAUUGGUAGAGUACUUGCCUUGCAUGCAUGAGGCCCUGGGUUCAAUUCCUCAGAACCA